rnacentral:rRNA from 1 species
AAUGCAGCUCAAAUUGGGUGGUAAAUUCCAUCUAAAGCUAAAUAUUGGCGAGAGACCGAUAGCGAACAAGUACCGUGAGGGAAAGAUGAAAAGCACUUUGGAAAGAGAGUUAACAGUACGUGAAAUUGUUGGAAGGGAAACGCUUGAAGUCAGACUUGCUUGCCGAGCAAUCGGUUUGCAGGCCAGCAUCAGUUUUCCGGGAUGGAUAAUGGUAGAGAGAAGGUAGCAGUUUCGGCUGUGUUAUAGCUCUCUGCUGGAUACAUCUUGGGGACUGAGGAACGCAGUGUGCCUUUUGGCGGGGUUUCGACCUCUUCACACUUAGGAUGCUGGUGGAAUGGCUU